AUGGCAAGUACAGCAUGUUUCGUGAUUGUAAGUAAGAAUGACAUCCCAAUAUAUGAGGCAGAAGUUGGAUCUGCACCAAAGAAAGAAGAUCUGGCUUAUCACCAUCAGUUCAUCCUACAUGCUGCGUUAGAUGUCGUUCAGGACCUAGCAUGGACCACAAAUGCAAUGUUCCUGAGGUCUGUUGAUAGAUUUAAUGACCUUGUGGUGUCUGUUUAUGUAACCGCCGGUCAUACUAGAUUCAUGUUGCUUCACGAUUCGCGCAGCGAGGAUGGAAUAAAAAGCUUUUUCCAAGAGGUCCAUGAACUUUACAUCAAGAUAUUCCUCAACCCCCUGUACCUGCCCGGCUCUCGCAUCGCGUCGUCUCAUUUCGACACCAAGGUGAGGGCUCUGGCGAGGAAGUAUCUGUAG
rnacentral:rRNA from 1 species